rnacentral:lncRNA from 1 species
UUUCUAAUCCGUCCACCAAGAUCUUGUCUCUCCGACGCUCGACUUGAAGAACAAACACAUGCGAAUAUUUGGAUUUCCCCCAGCAUUGUUAUCAAGAGCGAUAUCUCCCCCCGCUCUCCUCUGUUCUAUACCAAUUUCUAAGGAAAGAACAAGGAAACCUUGUAUGUCUAUUUAACAAUUACAAAUCAUAACAUCUCAGUUACUUGGAAUCCAUUGCAAGAAUCUUUUGUCAACUUUAUAUAAAAGUAAUAAUAUAUUAUAAUUAAAUUAAAUGAAUUUAAAUCUUCAAGUAAAAUCUUCCUAGUUAUCCAUCUACCUCCUUUAGAUCACUAAUGAUAAUAUCUCAUAUCUUCUAACACUACUAUUCUUAAGUCUUCUGAAGAUAUAUUUAUUCAGUAUCCUGAAAGAUUCUCUUUCAUUUUUAUUAUUAUACCUAAUUUUUUAUAUAUAUAUAAUUUUAUUUCUUCAUAUUUUAUAGUAACUUUGUGUAUCUACCACACUAUUCUCAUCUCAACAAUAUAAAUAUUUUUUUUUUACUUUUUUAUUUUAAUUUUUUAAUUUAAUUUUUUUUUCAAAUUUGAAUUUAGCACAUGCUUUCAUAUAAAACUCGUUAACUUACAUACAUAUCAUUGUAAUUCAUCUUCAUUGGUUGUUAUUAUUUUAUUUUAAUAUUUUUAUUUAUAUUUUUAUUUUAAUUUGAAUUUAGCACAUGCUUUCAUAUAAAACUCGUAAACUUACAUACAUAUCAUUGUAAUUCAUCUUUAUUGGUUGUUAUUAUAAUAACGUUGAACCUCUAAUUGACAUCAAGACACUUCAAAAUAUCACUUGCUUUAUACAUUUUUAUUUUUCAUAAUUUUACCCUUUUUUAAUUUUCAUAAAAAAUUUUAAGUGAUUUUAAUUACCAAAUUUUAAAAUAUUAAAGUCUUUAUUGAGACAUUCAUGUUGGUUAGUGCAUUUGUUACACAAGUAAUGUGUAUUACGUUUGAGUCACGCAUGUACAUCCUUUAAUACAAUAAAAAUAUUUUUUAAUUUUUUUUAAAAAUACUAUUAAUAGUAGUUAAGUUUGUAGUUAUUGGGUAAAUAUUAACAGAAGUGACAUAUAUAAAAGAUUUUAAUUUUAAAAGAUAAUAUAAUACAUUCACAUAUUUAUCAUUUUUUAAAUUUAUAAAUAACGUAUUAGUUGUUAGAAAUUUGAUAUUGAUAUCCCUCUAAAUAUUAGAAUUCUUCGUAUGAUGUGUCCCUUUCGUUAAUAUUCAUCCAAAAUACAAAGAUCAUGAUUAACACUGGUUAGCUAAUUUGAGUUGAAAAAUCGAUAUAAAAAAUAAAAAAAAACCUGAAAUAUCCUUAAUAUUUCGGCUAAUCACAGCUACCCAGAGUCAGCUAGUUUACAUUAAAAAGAUUUAUAAAUCAUUAAAAUAUUAAAACACUUCAAAUCUUUAUAUCGACUAUCUGUGAUUAAUUAGUUUAAGUUAAAAGAUCCAUAAAUAUAUAAAACUAUCUAAAUUAUAUCUUGAAUACUCUUAUAAUCAAAAUGAGUUUAAAGAAUAAUUUGUAGUUUCAACUAAGAGUUCAAUUUAAAUUUAACACAUUUAGAGAAAGAUGAAGUUAAAAGGGGAGUACCCGAGACAACUGUGUGAUGGUACAACUAUAGCUUUUUGGAACAGUUUGCUUGUCAUCUUUGUACGCAUUUGAAUUCCAGAGAAUGCCCCCUGCCUGCCUGCCUGCCUACCUACCUACCUACCUACCGUCCAUUCACUAGCUUUGUUUCUCCUGUUGGAUCUGCAGUGCUCCCAGAUCAAAACCUACAAGUUUUGGUACUCGAGGAAAAUGAAUGGGAGCAUGAAUUCAAUACUUAAACUUAUCCCCUGUUUCUGAUCGUCGAGGGCGCAAGAUCAAAAUGCAUGUGGAAAUGCGUGCGCGUUCAAGCAGCUGCGGUAUUAGUGGCAAUAUAUCAAACAGGUGUCAUGCAACAAAAGAUAGUGGGGGGGUAGAAUAGAAUACGCCGGUGGGAUGGACAAGGAAUGCGUGGUUCGAAGCGGUGGUGGUGGUUCCUUUGGCGUGUCUCUCAAUCAAUCUUUUUGUCCUCGGCGCGCCGUGACGAUGAGAGCAGUCCAAAGCGGGAUGGCAGCUUACGAGGGCCGGCGUCGCUCCUCGAUGCGAUAGCAACGCUCUCUCCUCCUGUCGGCAGAUAUCCGUCCCCUGGCGCUUCGCGGCAGCUCUACACGCUUCCAGAGGACAUAAAUGCCAAAGCAGGCGAAGGCGAUGGUCUCUCGUAGACGCCAACCGGCACAAGUGGUUACAUAACGAACACCAGGCAGCGUUGGUGGAGAGGGGUAGUUUGGGUAGUUGGGAUGAAAUCGCUCGAUUCGUAGGGGCGGAGGCUAAAAAAGGCUCCGGGAGUGACGUGACGG